GGCGACGCACACUGGACUGAGACACGGCCAGACUCUACGGGAGGCAGCAGUGGGAAUAUUGCACAAUGGGCGAAAGCUGAUGCAGCGACGCCGCGUGGGGGAUGACGGCUUUCGGGUUGUAAACCUCUUUCAGUAGGGAAGAAGCGAAAGUGACGGUACCUGCAGAAGAAGCGCCGGCUAACUACGUGCCAGCAGCCGCGGUAAUACGUAGGGCGCAAGCGUUGUCCGGAAUUAUUGGGCGUAAAGAGCUCGUAGGUGGCUUGUCGCGUCUGCCGUGAAAACCCGAGGCUCAACCUCGGGCGUGCGGUGGGUACGGGCAGGCUAGAGUGUGGUAGGGGAGACUGGAACUCCUGGUGUAGCGGUGAAAUGCGCAGAUAUCAGGAAGAACACCGAUGGCGAAGGCAGGUCUCUGGGCCAUUACUGACACUGAGGAGCGAAAGCAUGGGUAGCGAACAGGAUUAGAUACCCUGGUAGUCCAUGCCGUAAACGUUGGGCACUAGAUGUGGGGGACAUUCCACGUUUUCCGCGUCGUAGCUAACGCAUUAAGUGCCCCGCCUGGGGAGUACGGCCGCAAGGCUAAAACUCAAAGGAAUUGACGGGGGCCCGCACAAGCGGCGGAGCAUGCUGAUUAAUUCGAUGCAACGCGAAGAACCUUACCAAGGCUUGACAUGCACCGGACGGCCGCAGAGAUGUGGCUUUCUUCGGACUGGUGCACAGGUGGUGCAUGGUUGUCGUCAGCUCGUGUCGUGAGAUGUUGGGUUAAGUCCCGCAACGAGCGCAACCCUUGUUCUAUGUUGCCAGCACGUCAUGGUGGGGACUCAUAGGAGACUGCCGGGGUCAACUCGGAGGAAGGUGGGGACGACGUCAAAUCAUCAUGCCCCUUAUGUCUUGGGCUUCAAGCAUGCUACAAUGGUCGGUACAAUGGGUUGCGAAACUGUGAGGUGGAGCGAAUCCCAAAAAGCCGGCCUCAGUUCGGAUUGGGGUCUGCAACUCGACCCCAUGAAGUCGGAGUCGCUAGUAAUCGCAGAUCAGCACGUGC
rnacentral:rRNA from 1 species